CCGACAGAAAAAAACAAUGUCUCUUAUUCUGAUGCUGGGAACUCUGGGUCUGCUUGCUCAAGUUUCUCAUCAGGAGGUUCAGUCUCCUGAAUCUCUGUCAGUUAAAGUUGGAGAUUCUGCCUCUAUUAGUUGUACUGGGACCAGUGGAGUUGAUGAUGACAUGAGCUGGUAUCUACUGAAACCUGGAGAAGCUCCUAAACUCCUAAUUUAUAAAGCAAAUCAACUUGAAUCUGGAGUACCAGAUCGGCUCAGUGGAAGUCAAUCUGAACUCCUAUUUACACUAAACAUACGUAGAGUUCAGCCUGAGGAUGCAGGAGAUUAUUACUGUAUGGGGGCUUAUCGUGGUCCAGUAUUCACACAGUGA